rnacentral:rRNA from 1 species
GAGCUUGCUUUUCUGAAUCUAGUGGCGAACGGGUGAGUAACACGUAGGUAACCUGCCCAUGUGCCCGGGAUAACUUCUGGAAACGGAUGCUAAAACCGGAUAGGUAGCAGACAAGCAUUUGACUGCUAUUAAAGUGGCCUUGGCCAUGAACAUGGAUGGACCUGCGGUGCAUUAGCUAGUUGGUGAGGUAACGGCCCACCAAGGCGACGAUGCAUAGCCGGCCUGAGAGGGCGGACGGCCACAUUGGGACUGAGACACGGCCCAAACUCCUACGGGAGGCAGCAGUAGGGAAUUUUCGUCAAUGGGGGGAACCCUGAACGAGCAAUGCCGCGUGAGUGAGGAAGGUCUUCGGAUCGUAAAGCUCUGUUGUAAGAGAAAAACGGCACUCAUAGGGAAUGAUGAGUGAGUGAUGGUAUCUUACCAGAAAGUCACGGCUAACUACGUGCCAGCAGCCGCGGUAAUACGUAGGUGGCGAGCGUUAUCCGGAAUGAUUGGGCGUAAAGGGUGCGUAGGUGGCAGAUCAAGUCUGGAGUAAAAGGUAUGGGCUCAACCCGUACUGGCUCUGGAAACUGAUCAGCUAGAGAACAGAAGAGGACGGCGGAACUCCAUGUGUAGCGGUAAAAUGCGUAGAUAUAUGGAAGAACACCGGUGGCGAARGCGGCCGUCUGGUCUGGAUUCUGACACUUGAAGCACGAAAGCGUGGGGAGCAAAUAGGAUUAGAUACCCUAGUAGUCCACGCCGUAAACGAUGAGAACUAGGUGUUGGG